AACGCACCUUGCGCUCCUUGGUAUUCCGAGGAGCAUGCCUGUUUGAGUGUCAUUAAAUUCUCAACUUCAUCAACUUUGUUGUUGAAGCUUGGAUGUGGGGGUUUUGCAGGUCUGCCUUAAUUGUGUGGUCUGCUCUCCUGAAAUAUAUUAGCGGGUUGGCUUCCCUCUAUCAGUGUGAUAAUUAUCUACGCUGUGGAUGGGUUUGGCUUUCAGACCAGCUUCUAAUCGUCCUUCUAGGACAAUCUCGUGACAUUUUUGACCUCAAAUCAGGUAGGACUACCCGCUGAACUUAA
rnacentral:misc_RNA from 1 species